rnacentral:rRNA from 1 species
CCUACGGGCGGCUGCAGUGGGGAAUAUUGCACAAUGGGCGCAAGCCUGAUGCAGCCAUGCCGCGUGUGUGAAGAAGGCCUUCGGGUUGUAAAGCACUUUCAGCGGGGAGGAAGGCGGUGAGGUUAAUAACCUCAUCGAUUGACGUUACCCGCAGAAGAAGCACCGGCUAACUCCGUGCCAGCAGCCGCGGUAAUACGGAGGGUGCAAGCGUUAAUCGGAAUUACUGGGCGUAAAGCGCACGCAGGCGGUUUGUCAAGUCGGAUGUGAAAUCCCCGGGCUCAACCUGGGAACUGCAUUCGAAACUGGCAGGCUAGAGUCUUGUAGAGGGGGGUAGAAUUCCAGGUGUAGCGGUGAAAUGCGUAGAGAUCUGGAGGAAUACCGGUGGCGAAGGCGGCCCCCUGGACAAAGACUGACGCUCAGGUGCGAAAGCGUGGGGAGCAAACAGGAUUAGAUACCCCAGUAGUC